rnacentral:rRNA from 1 species
UACGGGGGGUGCGAGCGUUGUCCGGAAUCACUGGGCGUAAAGGGCGCGUAGGUGGUUUGAUAAGGGUGUGGUGAAAGUCCGGGGCUCAACCCCGGAUCUGCCGUGCCGACUGUCAAACUCGAGGACUGUAGAGGCAGACGGAAUUCCGGGUGUAGCGGUGGAAUGCGUAGAGAUCCGGAGGAAGACCGGUGGCGAAGGCGGUCUGCUGGGCAGUUUCUGACACUGAGGCGCGACAGCGUGGGGAGCGAACAGG